rnacentral:rRNA from 1 species
AACGAACGCUGGCGGCAUGCCAAACACAUGCAAGUCGAACGAGAUCUUCGGGUCUAGUGGCGCACGGGCGCGUAACGCGUGGGAAUCUGCCCUUUGGUUCGGAAUAACAGUUGGAAACGACUGCUAAUACCGGAUGAUGACGAAAGUCCAAAGAUUUAUCGCCAGAGGAUGAGCCCGCGUAGGAUUAGCUAGUUGGUGUGGUAAAGGCGCACCAAGGCGACGAUCCUUAGCUGGUCUGAGAGGAUGAUCAGCCACACUGGGACUGAGACACGGCCCAGACUCCUACGGGAGGCAGCAGUGGGGAAUAUUGGACAAUGGGCGAAAGCCUGAUCCAGCAAUGCCGCGUGAGUGAUGAAGGCCUUAGGGUUGUAAAGCUCUUUUACCCGGGAUGAUAAUGACAGUACCGGGAGAAUAAGCUCCGGCUAACUCCGUGCCAGCAGCCGCCGCAG